rnacentral:rRNA from 1 species
CAGCCGUAAACAAUGUGCGUUAGGUGUGUCGGUAACCACGGUGCGACCGUUGUCGGUGCCGUAGGGAAGCCGUGAAGCGAGCCACCUGGGAAGUACGGCCGCAAGGCUGAAACUUAAAGGAAUUGGCGGGGGAGCACCACAACGGGUGGAGCUUGCGGUUUAAUUGGAUUCAACGCCGGAAAUCUUACCGGGACCGACAGCAACAUGAAGGCCAGGCUGAAGACUUUGCCGGAUUAGCUGAGAGGAGGUGCAUGGCGUAGUCGUGU